CAGUAGCCGCGGUAAUACGAAGGGUGCAAGCGUUACUCGGAAUUACUGGGCGUAAAGCGUGCGUAGGUGGUGGUUUAAGUCCGUUGUGAAAGCCCUGGGCUCAACCUGGGAAUUGCAGUGGAUACUGGGUCACUAGAGUGUGGUAGAGGAUAGUGGAAUUUCCGGUGUAGCAGUGAAAUGCGUAGAGAUCGGAAGGAACAUCUGUGGCGAAGGCGACUAUCUGGGCCAACACUGACACUGAGGCACGAAAGCGUGGGGAGCAAACAGGAUUAGAUACCCCGGUAGUCCCUGUCUCUUUACA
rnacentral:rRNA from 1 species